CCCGCCGUAGCUCAGUGGUAGAGCAUCCGGCUGUAGACCGGAGGGGCGCCGGUUCAAAUCCGGCCGGCGGGACCA
rnacentral:tRNA from 1 species